UAGUAUCAAGUUUGAGAUGCUAACAGGUAUGAAAAGCUGAGUAUGCCAUAAAAGUCGCAUUCUUAAAGGCUUCAGAGUGCUAUGGAAGCAAUGAGGGACAGUUGGACUAAAGUUCCAGAGAUGGGAGGCUCAUCCAGAGCUGCACCAAGGAGGACCAGUUAUUUUAUUUUCUGUGGAAGCGUGCUAGUUCUGGAGAUGUGAGCAGAGGCAGAGGACUGCUACUAGCUUUGAAAGAGAUACUAGCCAAGGUUUUCUGGUCAUAAUGGACUGACAAAUUGGAGAUUUGGUGGGGGGUGUGGUGGGGUGCUCAAAUGCAUGACUGAUUUUCCCCAUAAGAAAUUUGGUGAAAUCUGAGGUUGGAGGGGAGCUGAAGAGAGAGGCCAGAAACUUCCAGAAGGCACAUUGAAAUCUCCUACAGCCUUACAGUGCCUAGGAAACACAGACCUGCUGGAGUCUGGAGUCUGAAAACAGAAUGGGCGAGAGAUGGAAACUCUAGAAGAUGUGGUCUGGUGACAUUGGGUAUCUACAGCUACUUUUCACCUAGGGUUUCUGUUGAUUUCAGGUGUAGCAGGCAGAUGGGCAUCCAGGCUUGGCUGCUUCUGGGAGACAAAAAUUGCAGAAAAGGUUUCUGGAGCUAGAGUUUAAAAAUAACACUAGAGGAGCCCCACAUAUGUGAUUAGUCACCCUUUCAAAACACACGCCAAGUUUUCAAACUGAGUGGGGUGGGAGGCCAAAGAGCUAAGCUGAAAACUUGUAAUGGGCAGAACUGACUCCAGUGCUAAGGAAAUAAAAGUGUCUCCUUGAACUCCAUAGACGGCGUGCCUUAGAAACAGGAUCAAAGCGUGAGCCACCGGCGCCCAGCCCACAUUCUUUAACGUACACAUGGAGCAUCAAAAUAGAUCAUGUGCUGAGUCCUAAAGGAAGCUUCUACAAAUUUCAUGAUUGAAAUUGCUUAGAGCAUGUUCUCUGACAAUAGAAUUAAGCUCAAAUUUAAUAACAGAGUUAAACUAAAGAAUCCUUAACUGCCUGAAAAUGAAUAUACUUCUAAACAAUUUAUAAGUCAA
rnacentral:lncRNA from 1 species